rnacentral:rRNA from 1 species
UCGGGAAUUUUGGGCAAUGGGGGAAACCCUGACCCAGCAACGCCGCGUGAAGGAUGAAGUAUUUCGGUAUGUAAACUUCGAAAGAAUAGGAAGAAUAAAUGACGGUACUAUUUAUAAGGUCCGGCUAACUACGUGCCAGCAGCCGCGGUAAUACGUAGGGACCAAGCGUUGUUCGGAUUUACUGGGCGUAAAGGGCGCGUAGGCGGCAUGACAAGUCACUUGUGAAAUCUCUGGGCUUAACCCAGAACGGCCAAGUGAUACUGUCGCGCUAGAGUGCAGAAGGGGCAAUCGGAAUUCUUGGUGUAGCGGUGAAAUGCGUAGAUAUCAAGAGGAACACCUGAGGUGAAGACGGGUUGCUGGGCUGACACUGACGCUGAGGCGCGAAAGCCAGGGGGAGCAAACGGGAUUAGAUACCCACGUAGUCCCUGAGCGGGCUGGCAAGGCGCAU